UAUGCUUAACACAUGCAAGUCGAACGGCAGCACGAGAGAGCUUGCUCUCUUGGUGGCGAGUGGCGGACGGGUGAGUAACGCGUAAGAAUCUGCCUAGUAGUGGGGGAUAACUCGGGGAAACUCGAGCUAAUACCGCAUACGCCCUACGGGGGAAAGUGGGGGACCUUCGGGCCUCACGCUAUUAGAUGAGCUUGCGUUGGAUUAGCUAGUUGGUGAGGUAAUGGCUCACCAAGGCGACGAUCCAUAGCUGGUCUGAGAGGACGAUCAGCCACACUGGGACUGAGACACGGCCCAGACUCCUACGGGAGGCAGCAGUGGGGAAUAUUGGACAAUGGGCGCAAGCCUGAUCCAGCAAUACCGCGUGUGUGAAGAAGGCCUGCGGGUUGUAAAGCACUUUCAAUUGUGAAGAAAAGCUUGGGGUUAAUAGCCCCGAGUCUUGACGUUAACUUUAGAAGAAGCACCGGCUAACUCUGUGCCAGCAGCCGCGGUAAUACAGAGGGUGCGAGCGUUAAUCGGAAUUACUGGGCGUAAAGCGUGCGUAGGCGGUUUAGUAAGUCAGAUGUGAAAGCCCUGGGCUUAACCUGGGAACUGCAUUUGAAACUGCUGAACUAGAGUGUGGUAGAGGGAAGUGGAAUUCCGGGUGUAGCGGUGAAAUGCGUAGAUAUCCGGAGGAACACCAGUGGCGAAGGCGACUUCCUGGACCAACACUGACGCUGAGGUACGAAAGCGUGGGUAGCAAACAGGAUUAGAUACCCUGGUAGUCCACGCCGUAAACGAUGUCAACUAGUUGUUGGGAGCAUUCUGGCUUUUAGUAACGUAGCUAACGCGAUAAGUUGACCGCCUGGGGAGUACGGCCGCAAGGUUAAAACUCAAAGGAAUUGACGGGGGCCCGCACAAGCGGUGGAGCGUGUGGUUUAAUUCGAUGCAACGCG
rnacentral:rRNA from 1 species